rnacentral:lncRNA from 1 species
CAAUUUUAGGGUGUGUAAAAAAGGGAGAAGACGGGAAAAAUACAUAUGGUGGAAUGAUUCAUCACCAAGAGAGGAGAAUGGCAUGGAAUGACAGCAGUCAGCUGCCCUCAAGGAGCAAGGCGGUGUUAAGCUUCUGUCUUAAGUUCUAAACAUUUUUGGCCUCUAAAUUUGUUGUUUUGUGUUUGUCAGUUGGCGGUGGAGGGGUCUUCCAACCCAAAGAAAACCCAGGUUGGGUGUCAACUGACUUCAUGUGUGGGCCAUCACUGAAUUUUGUUCAACCACUGUUGGCUGCCCUGUUUCCCCUGGGGGCUCCCUGGGAUGCUGAGAACUGUUGAUCCACACACACCUGCUCUCUCCAGAAGUUUCCCCAGCUUUGUGAAUGGCACCAUGCUAUCUCUGUUGCUCAAGCCAAAAGCCAGGAGCCGUCCUGACGCACUGCACAUCCAGAUAGCCCCUCUCCGGGUGCCUACAAUGGCCACCGACAUCUCUUGCCUGGACUGCGGCAACAGCUUCUCUUGCUUCCAUUUCCUUCCUGCAAUCCAGGAUGACCUUUUACAAAAAUAAAUCAGUGUCACCUCUCAUCUGCAUUAGCUACUGAUUACUGCACAAACCACCCAAAAAUUCG